AUGCGGAGGGUGCAAGCGUUAUUCGGAAUCACUGGGCGUAAAGGACGCGUAGGCGGGUUGGCAAGCCAGAUGUGAAAUCCUACAGCUUAACUGUAGAACUGCAUUUGAAACUGCUAACCUAGAGUAUGGGAGGGGGAGAUGGAAUUAGUGGUGUAGGGGUAAAAUCCGUAGAUAUCACUAGGAAUACCGAAAGCGAAGGCGAUCUCCUGGAACAUAACUGACGCUAAGGCGUGAAAGCGUGGGGAGCAAACAGGAUUAGAUACCCUAGUAGUCC
rnacentral:rRNA from 1 species